UGCUAUCUGGUCGUGCGAUGAAACGUGUAACUCUCAGAUGGGCCUAAGCCAUCACUGAUUUCGGGCGGAAAGUUGGUUGCGUAAAGUACCUAGUGUAGGAUUUGGUUGGAAAUCCUACACGGUACACAUGUGAAGAUGCUUUUACCGCAAAGGUGGCGCGCAGUUCAAGCCAGUGGAUUUGCUAAGACGCGGCUAAUGAUAAACCGAGCCAUGGCUUCGGACAUGCGACAACACUAUAGUUUGGUGAUGGAAUCUACGCUUGGUAUUAAAUUGUUCGGGAAUGUUCGCUAACCUGGCGAGACUAGUUGGCCAACCACUUCGAGUCUCGUCAGGUAAGCACUGCAAUAGCAACUUCAAGUAUUACACUGAUAGAUUAGAAUGAAUUCGGGUUAAUAUAUAUGCCGUAUUAUUCUGGAACGUGGUAAAAUACCCAAUACAAUACCGAUCUAUUAUUAUUAUAUUGUUUUCAUUAUGAAAAUUUCCAGCCCAAUGCUGGUUUAUCUUUUACCGAUUUACUCAUUCAUGACAUAAUCAGUAGUGAGAAAUAAAAAUGGUGUGGGUACUGAUUUCUUCCAAAUUAAUUUCUCCUUAGAAUUCCACAGAAGAAAAGCACGACGUGUUUCUCGUUGCUAUAAUCAAAUCAAUCAACCUGGUUUGUUAGAGUAGGUUACAUAAAGCAAGCAUAUGAAUAUCAACACUUCCUAGUGGUAAGGUUUGAAAAUUUGGAAAUGGUAUCUGCGUAGCUCAUAAGUUGAUGAUUAAAAAAAAGAACACUUGGUAUUAGUUUUAGGAUGUUUUCGAUGAAAUUUGUAUUGUUAUUCGAUAAAUUGUUAUGAGAUGGUGUUUUGCAACCCCCUCGAAAUAAAUACUCAUUACUGUUAACAAAUA